rnacentral:lncRNA from 1 species
AGUCCAAGGCCUCCAGGGAACAGACCCCGGUGCUUCCUGUGGAAUUGCAGCCUCCCUUUCAUUUGAAAAGAGUAGGACUUGCUGCUCUUUUGUAGACAUUGCAACUCCCACCAGGCGGAAGAAGUUAACUACGUGAUGACCAGACUGUAGCCAUGACGUCAGCUGCCCCAAUUCCGAGAACUGGCCUCAGAGAAAUGGGACCAACCGGAUCCCAGGACUGAAGAUGAACCGUACUUAAAACAAUCAAGAAGACACUGAUCAGACCAUUGCGGGACUGAGUUCAAGCUGAUGGUCAUUAUUUGGGCGACUGGAUCGCUUUGCUGCAGCAGAAAUUAGCACAGCGUUAUACGUCAACUAUGCUUUAAUUUAAAAAAAAAUGAAGAAAAGAUGACUGCUUGAGCUGACUGUGCAGUUCUGCAUACAGGCCCCUCCCUCCAACUACAGAGCCCUGAAGCUCCCCUGUAAAAGCUCUCGCCCACUGAUCAGCAGGGGGAUUGGCCUCUAGGCACGAGUCUCUCCUCUCUCACUUGGUCUCCAGCCUCUGGGAUCAAACAAACUUUCCUUUCUACCAGCCCUUGCCUCUCAGGUGGCGAGCACACAGACCUGAGUCUCGGUACCGUGUCUGACAAACACUGGAUGCCUGUUACCGGAAGCAGCAAGAGGAGUCUCCCUUCAGUGCCUCCAGCCCCGGCCACGCACGCAUCACCAGCUCCCAUUCAGUCUGCCUGUUUCCAUCUCUGAGUUUUAAAGAUCUCAUUAGUUCAUCAUCCUGAAAGAGCCUUGCUCUUUGGGAUGCUAUCUUCCUCUUCUCCUAUGAAACUCACUUUCUGCACAAAUAUUUUCAAAACCCUAGUGUAUCCAGCCCUAGAGCAGGGUUGCUUCCAGGAGGGGGCGCGCUCCCCUCCACGGUAAAUGGGGAAGCGGGGGGUGCCUCCGGGCAGGGGUUGAAUGGAAGGAGGUGGCACGUGGAGGGCCUGAGUAUUAAUUUUGUUUCUUUACUUACAAACCACCAUGGCAUAUUCUUGACCAAGGUACAGCGUUUUCACCAUGAAUGGGCGCUCAGGCCACAUUUUUGAGGCGGGACUAUGGUGACCACCAGGGGAGGGUCCCAGGCUGAGUCCCACGGGCCAGGGAGGGGAGGCUAGGAGAGCUUUUCAGGGGGCCUGACAUGCAGACUGAAUGGAGGGGCUCCAGAGCAAGCUCAAGAGGGCGGUGAAAGAAAAGAAUUGGGUUGGAGUUGAGGAGAGAGAGCGCGCUGAUGGAAACUGGCAGCUUGGCUCCAGGAGGCUAAGGCAGGUGACAAGGACAGCACCAGAGGGACGGCUUGUUGGAGAUGCCCUGUGGCAGAGGGACCUUGCCUAAAGCAGAAGGGGAACGAUGGCCAGGGCCCAGGUUCUCCCUGAAGUUCACAGAGCGGGAACCAGACUGAAUCCCGGCCAGGAAGAGACCCUGGAGACAGAAGAUGCAGGACUGGGGGGCAGAGGCGGCAAAGACGGGGGACCCGGAGGAGGUGGGGAGGAAGGGCCUCAGGCGAGUGUCCGUAGAUGCAUCUGCUGAGAAAGCGCCACGGGGACAGGGACCGAGGGUCUUGCGCCACGCUCGGCACAGUGCCUGGCGCGUCGUGGUGCUCCGUACACGUCUGCAGAUAAACGCUCGAGUGUGUCCACAGAGGGGCAUCACACAGCCAUUGCCAUUGCCAGAUGCGUUCGGGGCAAAAGCUCCAAUCGGGUGCUCAGCGUUCAGGAAAUGCUCAGGUCACAUUAGGGAGUUUAAAACUCGGAGAAACCCUGCAGGAAGGAAACCUCCCUUUCCUUAACUGUUUUUCCACACUUGUUUGGGUAGAACUUUCCUCCACCCCAGCUCCCAUGACACCUGUGAACACCUGGAGGGGCACCGGUCCCCUGCAAGGGACAGAGACAGAACCAGAAAGGAGCUGGUGUCUGGGCCAAGAUCUGAGCUGUGGGCUCCGGGAUGCUGGGAGGGUGGGUGUGCCAGACACGGCAGGAGUGCCAGACACCACAGGUGUGCCAGACACGGCAGACAGAGGGCAAGUGUGGAGCCAGAGGACACAAGGGGGACGUCCCUCCCACCUUGGGUGAGUUUGCCAAGAGAAGUGGUGACAGAGCCUGCAACUGGGGACACUCUGGAGACACUGGGGACACUCAGGGGUGGCUGGUCCCCCCAGCAGCUCCCAGGCCUUGUCAGACCUGGAGGUUCUCUUCGGGGCUUUAUCACUGGCUUCCCUGAAGCCAAAGAACAUUUCUGGUCAGUUUUUUACAUAAUUUCUUCCUUCCUUCCCCCCCCUCCCUUUUCCCUAAAAAGGGGGAUUUGUGUUUCUUUUCCUAAUGAUGUGGAGACCGUGAGAGAAUCAUCCUUUCUCUUGACCCUCUGACCCUGGUUGUAUCCUCACUCAUUCAUUCAUUCAUCCAUUCACUCACUCACUCACUCACUCAAUAUUUGGGGUGUCCUUGAUUGGGGUGAAGGAAUAUAGCCCUCAGGUCUUAGAUGCGUCGCUUCGACAUAGCAAUAGUUCAAUAAUAACAAAAAGCAAGACAAUCUAAUUAAAUCCCAAAGUAGAAAUUCUAUACCAUGACUUUUUUUAAACUUAAUUGUUUAUAAUCACCAGGGAAAAUUAAAAAAAAGUUACAUAUUCCUGAGUUCCAUGCCUGAAUCAGGAACUUGGAUUUUGAACUUUUUAUUUUUUAUUAAAACAUUUUUCUGGGGGCCACACCCCAGACAUUCAGAAGGUCCCAAGCCAGGGAUCAAACUCUCACCACAGCAGUGACCAGAGCUAGAGCAGUGACCACACUGGAUCUUUCACCUGCUGGGCCACCAGGGUACUCCCUAUUUUUAACUUUUUAAAUUCUAAGAGUUUCCUAGGAAAUUCUCCCCAUGCUUUCCCUGCCCUGCAUUGCAGAUUACUCUUUGCAAACCUCUGUGACAGACCAAGUUUCUGAAGUCAAGGACCGAGCAACAUCUGGCUGGCUGGGUUAUCACACUUGUCUCACUUGCUAAUGAGGAAGGUUCCAGAGAGGAGUCUGGCCCUAGCGACCAGCCAAUUACUGGCUGUGCAGAGACCCAUUUACGGGGCCCUGAAAGUCUCCACCCACAAAUGACAUUUCUGCUCUAAGUGCCCUGAAGGGGUGCAGGUGACCUGCUACACUUCCGCAGAUGACCAGUGGCCACCAUGAACAGGGAGUUCCCAGGGUGGCUCAGUGGUUAACAAAUCUGACUAGGAACCAUGAGAUUGCAAGUUUGAUGCUUGGCCUCGCUCAGUGGGUUAAGAAUCCAGCAUUGCUUUGAGCAGUGGUGUAGGUCUCAGACAUGGCUCAGAUCCUGUGUUGUUGUGGCUCUGGCGUAGGCCGGCGGCUAUAGCUCUGAUUAGACCCCUAGCCUGGGAACCUCCAUAUGCCGCGAUGUGGCCCUAGAAAAAAAAAAAAAAAAAAAAAAAAAAAAAAAAAA